AUACAUGCAAGUCGAACGCUUUUUUCAAUCAUCGUAGCUUGCUACACCGAUUGAAAAUUGAGUGGCGAACGGGUGAGUAACACGUGGGUAACCUGCCCAAAAGAGGGGGAUAACACUUGGAAACAGGUGCUAAUACCGCAUAACCAUGAUGACCGCAUGGUCAUUAUGUAAAAGAUGGUUUCGGCUAUCACUUUUGGAUGGACCCGCGGCGUAUUAACUUGUUGGUGGGGUAACGGCCUACCAAGGUAAUGAUACGUAGCCGAACUGAGAGGUUGAUCGGCCACAUUGGGACUGAGACACGGCCCAAACUCCUACGGGAGGGCAGCAGUAGGGAAUCUUCCACAAUGGGCGCAAGCCUGAUGGAGCAACGCCGCGUGAGUGAAGAAGGUCUUCGGAUCGUAAAACUCUGUUGUUAGAGAAGAACAUGCAGGAGAGUAACUGUUCUUGUAUUGACGGUAUCUAACCAGAAAGCCACGGCUAACUACGUGCCAGCAGCCGCGGUAAUACGUAGGUGGCAAGCGUUGUCCGGAUUUAUUGGGCGU
rnacentral:rRNA from 1 species